rnacentral:tRNA from 1 species
CGGGAUGUGGCGCAGCUUGGUUCAGCGCGCGUGCCUUGGGAGCACGAGGCCGGGGGUUCAAGUCCCCCCAUCCCGACCA